CCAAAGAAUGAGGGCGGUAUGGGAUUCCGAGACCUUUACUCCUUUAACCUAGCAAUGGUUUCGAAGCAAUGCUGGCGGCUUGUCACUGACCCACAUUCUUUAUGUGCCCAGGUGCUGAAGGCGACGUACUUCCCAAACUGCAGCAUACUCGAAGCCACUUUGAAAAAUGGCGCAUCUUUUACCUGGCAAAGCAUCAUGAAGGGAGUUGCUACGUUCAAACUGGGAUAUAUAUGGAGGAUUGGGAAUGGUGAGAGCAUCAAUAUUUGGAAUGACCCUUGGGCACCAGCAAGUCCAGAUAGAAAAAUUAUCUCUGCACGUGGGCCGACUGUGUUGUCAAGAGUUAGCGAUCUAAUAGACCCAAAUAUUGGGAUGUGGGACGAAGAUAUUCUUCUAUCUAUCCUGAACCCAGUGGACGUUCAGAGAGUGCUGCAAAUCCCACUUAGUUACAACUCAUUUGAGGAUUUCAUCGCUUGGCAUCCAGACCGAAUGGGAAUUUUUUCAGUAAGGUCUGCGUACAAACUGCAAUGGAGUCAUACCUACCAGGCGCAGAAAAACUUAAGGGAGAGACCGGGGGGUUCAAACUCACCUGAAAUAUGGACGAGGCUAUAGAAGCUAAAAGUUCCACGAAAGGUUUCAAUCUUCUGUUGGCGUUCGCUGCAUGGAAUAAUACCCUUAAAAUCCAUACUUACUAAUAGGCAUGUUGGUUCAGAUAGUGCAUGUCCAAUAUGCCACCAGGGACCCGAGGAUGUGCGUCACUUGUUGUUUGAUUGCUCUCAUGCAUUAUCUCUAUGGGGUCAGCUGGGUAUUCUAUAUAUAAUUGAAGAGGCUAAAAAGAUUGACCGGUCAGGCUCAGUCAUUCUGGAACAUCUACUAACAGCUGAUGACUGUCCUGCUCCGCUCAAACCAAACUUAGAUAUAAAGCAGAUUAUUGCGGUGGAAGUAUGGUACCUUUGGUGGAUUCGACGACAAGUUACACAUGAUGGUAAACGCCUGGACCCAGCAAAAUGGCCUAUUUCUGUCCUUGCAAUCACAAAUAACUACCACGAAACCUUUUCAAAGAAGCACACCGAUCCGGUGAAUACUUGGUGCAGACCUGAACCGAAGUUUGUGGAACUGAACGUCGAUGCAGCGUUUCAUGCUGAUGUAGGGGCUGGAGCAGUAGCCGCAGUUCUAAGAGAUAGCAAGGGGAAUUUUUUUGGCUGCUCAAUGCAAAUACUUUCCUCAUGCCUAUGA
rnacentral:rRNA from 1 species